CACGUAGGGGGCAAGCGUUGUCCGGAUUCAUUGGGCGUAAAGAGCUCGUAGGCGGUUCGAUAAGUCGGGUGUGAAACCUCCAGGCUCAACCUGGAGACGCCACCCGAUACUGUCGUGACUAGAGUCCAGUAGGGGAGCGUGGAAUUCCUGGUGUAGCGGUGAAAUGCGCAGAUAUCAGGAGGAGCACCAGCGGCGAAGGCGGCGCUCUGGGCUGGAACUGACGCUCAUGCACGAAAGCGUGGGGAGCAAACAGG
rnacentral:rRNA from 1 species